rnacentral:rRNA from 1 species
AUUGAACGCUGGCGGCAUGCCUUACACAUGCAAGUCGAACGGCAGCACGGGAGCAAUCCUGGUGGCGAGUGGCGAACGGGUGAGUAAAGUAUCGGAACGUGCCCAGUCGUGGGGGAUAACGUAGCGAAAGUUACGCUAAUACCGCAUACGAUCUACGGAUGAAAGCGGGGGAUCGCAAGACCUCGCGCGGUUGGAGCGGCUGAUAUCAGAUUAGGUAGUUGGUGGGGUAAAGGCUCACCAAGCCGACGAUCUGUAGCUGGUCUGAGAGGACGACCGGCCACACUGGGACUGCGACACGGCCCAGACUCCUACGGGAGGCAGCAGUGGGGAAUUUUGGACAAUGGGCGCAAGCCUGAUCCAGCCAUGCCGCGUGCAGGAUGAAGGCCUUCGGGUUGUAAACCGCUUUUGUACGGAACGAAAAGGUUUGGCCUAAUAAGCUGGACCCAUGACGGUACCGUAAGAAUAAGCACCGGCUAACUACGUGCCAGCAGCCGCCGUAA